GCGCCUCUAGCUCAGUUGGAUAGAGCGUCUGGCUACGGACCAGAAGGUCGGGGGUUCGAAUCCCUCGGGGCGCGCUA
rnacentral:tRNA from 1 species